UACGAAGGGGGCUAGCGUUGCUCGGAAUCACUGGGCGUAAAGCGCACGUAGGCGGAUUGCUAAGUCAGGGGUGAAAUCCUGGAGCUCAACUCCAGAACUGCCUUUGAUACUGGCGAUCUCGAGUCCGGGAGAGGUGAGUGGAAGCUGCGAGUGUAGAGGUGAAAUUCGUAGAUAUCGCAAGAACACCAGUGGCGAAGGCGGCUCGCUGGCC
rnacentral:rRNA from 1 species